AGCAUGUAAGAAAUCAAAUGAAAACAUCAUCACUGUUUAGUUUCCAACAUUUUAAUUUGGGAAUUACCAAUUUUGUUCAUCUAAUUUGUGUCAAAAUGAUUCUUUAAAUGUUUAAAUUUUCCCGUUUCACCUUUAGCUUAUCAAAUUGACUGUCAACGAAGUAAUUUACUCGUUAACUGCUGUAAACUCAUCUCUAUUUUUUCAAUGUGAGUCUACCAUUGAAAAUAGCUUUUCAAAUCAGGUAUUUGAUGAUUUAAAGGCUGCACUGGAUAAUAUCAAAAUAUUGGGAGAUGGCGACUAUUCUGAGGACCGAUUGAAGGAUGCUAUUGAGCCCAUUCGAUACCGAUUUCCAAGCAAUGUUACUGAUCAACAAAUAUUGGCUGAUUUGAAGACUUUGCUAGCCCAAAUUGAGGCCAAUGAAUUGAUGGAAAAGGAGGAAAAAUUGAAACCUAAAAAGAAAUUCUUUUCGUGUUUAAAUGAUGGCCAGAAAUACACAAUUGACCAAGCGACUGGAAAUUUCAUUUGUGUCUGUAAACCAGGUUACUCAGGAGAAAUUUGUGAAAUUGAUUUAAGUCAUCAAACCACAACCGAAGCUUAUAAUUACGACUCGCUGGACUGCUCUUUGGAUCCAUGUUUAAAUAGUGGCCAAUGUAUUGAGACUAUUGUCUCGAUUACUGAAGGAUUGAUUGAUAAAUCAAUUACUAUUGGUUCAUGUAGAUGUCCACCAGGACUGACGGGCAAAAUAUGUGAAACCAAACUGGUUACAUGUGAUGAUUUACAAAUGGAUCCUUGUCCUGAAGAUCAUAUAUGUAUCACAACUGAUGCAGGUUAUGAAUGUCAACGCUUUUCACGAAAAAAAGGUUAAAUUAAUGACUUAAUUUUGGUCUCUGACAAGCCAUAAAAUUAUCAACACACAAAACAAAUCCAAGACAAAACCAUUUUCUAAACCAUCGUUAACCUCUCCAUAUGAUGACGGAUAUCUUCGAUAUGAUUUACGAUUGAUGAUGUUUUACUUUCCAUUUGAUUUAUGGUUGCUGAUGCCCUUUAAACUCAUGUUUACUAACCUCUUUACUGUUCACCUACUUUACUCUCUCUAACCAUUUAUAGCAUUUCUUGAUGAAAGUACCAGAAAAGGAAUGAAAAACUCAGAGAUGACUAGACAUUUAAAAGAUUUGAAUGAAUUUGUUGUUUCAGUUUAUCUCUUUCUUAUUCAUCUUCUGUCCGUUUGAUAGUUUUCCUCUUGAAAUUUAUGAUGCUACAAAAAGAAAAUAUUUUUGUUGCUUUUUCCUUCUAAUAUAAUUUCUCUCUCAGUAUGACAAUUUUCUUAGUGAUGACAGGUAACUUUGACUCUUUUUCAAUCUCGUUUUGAUAUCCUCAUUGUUGGUAGAAAGUUUCUUAUUCCAUGAAACCAUUCUCAUGACCAUUCUCACAAAUUGGCUUAGCAAUCAAAAAAUAGCUGUCUGUCUUAUCAUCAUUUUCAUCUUUAGCUUAUUCUCCCAUUUUAUUACCAAUGAAAGAAGACUCCCAAAGAAUUGCUUUCUUUUUCUCUCUCUCUCUUUCUCUUCCUUUCGUUUCCAUCUCUCAUCUUCAUCACCUUGAAAUAAUGACAGGCUCAAUAUUUAGCAUAUUUCCUCUUUUAGUUUUAACAGUUAUUUCAUCUUCUCACCCUUGUCUAGUAAUUGUCAAAAUUAAAUGAUUUUUAGUGAUCCACUUUUUUUUAUAUUUCCCAUUAACCAUUGUUGAUCGUCAUUUCUUGGUAAAAUAGGCAUCAGAUUUAGUCUAUUUUGAUGUUUCUAUCACUUUCAUAUUACUCUACUGAAUAUAAUGUGUUGGGAGAUAAACAAGAGCAGAUGAAAAUUUUUUUAUUCAACCCCAAACAUAUUAUUGUAGACCUUACUUGAAUAUAUUGCUUUCUAUUUCAGCCAAUCAUAAAUCAAAUCAAAUUUAAUUGAUGUUGUACCAAAGUUGACACCUCACGGAAGCUUUAACCAUAAUUUUACUCAACAAAAAUCAUUUUUAUCAACUUUCCUCUGAUUUUGAAUCAUCAUCAUCAUCAUCGUCUUUUCUAAUCCAUUCCUAUGUUGCGAUAUAAAUUCAUUUUUAUAUCUUUGUCUUUGACUCUACCUUUCUUAAUGGAAUAAAAAGAACAAUAAAAAAGGCAAAUUAGCCCCUGUUAA